AUGAAUUAUGCUUAUGGAGAUGAACUUGCUAUAAUUCCUUAUGUUAAACAUGAAAUUGUUGCUAUUGCACCCACUCAUAAUAGUCCUAUUAUCUUUUUGAAUUCUCCAAACUACACUCUAUCAGAGAAGUUUGUGCUUAUUAAGGAUUACAUUGAUGGGUUGCCUUUUACCAUUGCACAUGAUGAUUUUGAUAGAUAUAAUAUGCAUGUGCUUGCUGCUCCUACUUGCAAUUAUUAUGAGAGAGGAACUAUAUCUCCGCCUCUUUAUGUUUUCAAUAUGAUAAAAUUGCAAGAAACUGCUUAUACUAUGCAUUGGCCUUUACUAUGUGUGCAUGAAUUGUUCUUUUAUGACAUGCCGAUGCAUAGGAAGAGAGUUAGGGGCCGUUCGGAGGCCAUUCGCUCCCUGAGCGGACGGAGCUGCGGCUAG
rnacentral:rRNA from 1 species